rnacentral:lncRNA from 1 species
AGGGCCCUUGCAGCCUUAUCUCCCAUUUAUUAACAUGUUGCUCUCCCCUGUACUGGUAUGUACACAAACAUUUAGGUUUCUUUUGUGCAUAAUAAUAACUGUCAUGCCGUUUGAUUAACUAUCACAUUUUUAUUCCUUUGGGCAUGCUUGUAGGAACAAAGGAAGAAUGUACUCUCCGUAUGUGUGUCGUCAUGUUUGAGUGGAAGGUGAAGAAAGAGUUUCGGGAAGGAAGUUAGGUACUAGUAUUGUCCUUGUUGUAAGCGGUGGGAGCUCUAUUUUUACUUUCUGCACUUCUAACCAAACAAACCCGUUUUUUUGGCAAUUUGAGG